UAUAGACAUGUGGAAAUGUGCACUGAACACAGUGACCAGACUGGAGUUAUAUGGCUUUCGGGAAGAAGACUGCAGAGACUAUGAAUUCUAUGAGGGCGAGG